rnacentral:lncRNA from 1 species
UUUUUUUUUGUGCUGCAUUCAGUGCUGGAGAUGUCAUCCCCAUAACUCUCUUCGUUUUUGCAGGGCUCUUUUUAGCAAAACAAUGGAUAACUCAAAAUUUUAUAUUUGUUCAUUAAUAAUGCCUUACCUAACCAGGGAUCUUGUAAGAAAGGUUCAUGAUAUCAUGUUAUGGGCUUUAGAUUGGUUGGAGAAGAGGAAGGGCGGGGCGGCCUUGUACUGAACACGUCAAGAGUGUUAGAUGUAUAUGUACUGUUGGUGAUUUACCUUUUCUAUUAGGGGGUUUUCUGUAUAUUUUCCCCUUCUUGUACCUGUAUAUAUAUGGGCCUAGAGCCCCUGUUAUGAAUACAAGUGCUAUUUCUAACAUGGUAUUAGAGCCGAACUAGGGUUAGAUUUCUUCCCAAUCUGCCUUAGGGUUCCUUUUUUUUUCCCCGCACGUUGCACUUGCGUGCUCUUCUUCUUCGUCAGCUCCGGCCGCCGCCCGUCUGGCUCUCCACCCGCCGGACUCGUUCUCGUCGGCCUCGUUGCCUGCUCUUCCCCCGCCUUCUCCGCUCGCGCCGCCCCGGCGCCCCGCCGGCUUCACCGCGCGCCGCCCCGGCGCCCGCCGGCCUCGCCGCCCGCGCCGCCCCGGCGGUCUCGCAGCCUGCCGCCCGCGCCGCCCCGGUGCCCCGCCGGCCUCGCCGCCCGCCGCCGCCCGCCGCCUGCGCUGCCCCGGCGGAUUCGUCGUUUCCGCCGCCCGCGCCGCCCCGGCGCCCCGCCGGCCUCGCCUUUCGCCGCCCCGCCGGCCUCGCCGCCCGGCGGAUUUGACGCCCGCGCCGUCCCGCUGCUUGCGUCGCCGCCUGUGCUGUGCGGUGCGCGACCGGAUAGGACUCCUGAAGGAGUUUGGUCCUUAAAAAAAAAAAUCUCUGCGCCGCUGCUUUGUAUUGUGCACGUGCGUUUUAGGAGAAAAAAAAGAAAAAAAAAACUUGCGCUGCUUUUCUUCUGCGCUCUCGCCGUCGCCCGCCGUUGUUUUACUUGCGCUCUCGCCGUCGCCAUGGCUCCUUCGGCUCCUUCGUCUGGUGGUGUCCCAGUGUUACGUUGCCCGGUCCUAUUCAAUGGCAACAACUAUCGCGAUUGGGUUCCUCAUCUACGGAUUCAUAUGCGUGGUCUUCGUCUUUGGGAGUUUCUUACUGGCGAGUUGCCUUGUCCACCUCGUCCUACUGCUCCUACAUACCCGGUGCUUCCUGCGAAGCCAGUGAUUCCAGAGAAGGCUACGGCUGAAGAGAUGGAUCGGUUGCUUGCUACUCAUGAUACAGAUGUGGCGAAGCUCCUUGCAGAUUAUGAUGAUGGCCUUGCAUCCUAUGAGUCUCAAUUUACUGCAUACCGGACAUGGGUUGAUGAGGAUGCUCGAGCUGCUUCUAUUCUCGUUGCUAGCAUUGAUGACAGGGUUUCGGCUGAUAUUAUUGAGCUUGAUUUUGCACAUCAGAUGUGGGCUUUUCUUCGCACACGUUAUGAGCCUACUGGUCAAUCUACUUUUCUUGCAGCCAUUCGUCAGGAGCAGCUCGUUCGACAGGGUGAUGGUACCGUUGAUGAUUUCUAUGGUCAGAUUUCUACUAUUUGGCGCCAGCUCGACACUCUUAGUCCUCCGUUGUCUCCUAGCACCUGCCAGUCCUGCCUGGGUCAGCAGCAGGCUCUUGAGCUUCGUCGCACCUACGACUUCUUGACACGUCUUCGGGAUGAGUUUGAGCCCCUUCGUGCACAGCUGCUUGCUCGACAUCCCUGUGUCUCCCUGAUGGAGGCUCUUGCUGCUGUUCGUAAUGAGGAGACUCGCCUUCUUACUGUUGGAUUGAUGCGAUAUUCUUCCGUUUUGGCUGUCAGCUCCUCUACUCGUCCUGCGGUGCCUUCUUCCGAGAGUCGAGGGGGUGGUCUUAAAUGUGAUUGGUGUGGCAAGGAUAAUCAUGUGGAGGCCUUUUGUUACAGGAAGAAGAAGGCUCAGUCUCGUGAGGGUCAGUCUCGCGGUGGUGGACGUUCUUCACAGGGUCCUAGUGCUCCUGCUGGUUCUGCUCGUUCUUCGCUGGGUGCUAGUGCUACUGGUGGUUCUGGUUCUGGCAGUCCUCAGAGGAGUUCUGCUGGUUCUGAGACACAGGAGAUCAUCAGGUUGCUCAGUCGCCUUGUUACCUCUACGUCACCAGGCGCUGCAGGUUCUGUGACUCAGCCCUCUGCACCUAUAGGUUCUGCUGCUGCUUCGCAGUCUUCCGCUUUGGGAUCACCUUCCACGUCUACUCCAGGUAUUUGUCCAUGGAUUCUUGAUUCUGGUGCUUCGUUUCAUAUGACUCCUGAUUGCACCUUUCUUCCAUACGGUCUCCACCUGGUUCUCCUACUGUUCAUACAGCCGAUGGUUCUUCUCUUCCUGUUGUCGGACAUGGCACUCUCCUAUCUGACUCUUUUCAUGUCCCUAAUGUUUCUUAUGUUCCCGAUCUGACCAUGCAGCUCAUGUCCGCUGGCCAGCUCACUGAUCAUAACUGUCGUGUCAUUCUUGAUCCUGAUUUUUGUUAUGUUCAGGAUCGUCGCACGGGUCAGCUGGUUGGUACUGGCCCUCGUCGUCGUGAUUCUCAGCAUCUUUGGGAGCUUGACUGGCUUCGUCUUCCUUCCACUGCGCCCGUCAGUCUAGUUGGCUCCGCUUUGGCUGCUUCGUCGACCGCAUCUUUUGAUCAGUGGCAUCAUCGCUUGGGUCAUCUAUGUGGCUCCCGUCUAUCUAGUUUGAUUCGUCGUGGUCUUCUAGGUUCUGUUUCAGGUCAUGAGUCCUUAGCUCAGUGUCAGGGUUGUCGGUUGGGCAAGCAAAUUCAGCUUCCCUAUCAUUCUAGUGAGUCUGUGUCACAGCGUCCUUUUGAUCUUGUUCAUUCGGAUGUCUGGGGUCCUGCUCCCUUUGUUUCUAAAGGGGGCCAUCGAUACUAUAUUAUAUUCAUAGAUGAUUUUUCUCGUCAUACAUGGAUUUAUUUUAUGAAACACCGUACCGAGGCCUUAUCCAUCUACAAGUCUUUUACUUCUAUGAUCCGCACUCAUUUUGACACUUCUAUCCGUGUCUUUCGUGCUGACUCUGCUGGCGAGUACCUUUCCGUAACUCUUCGUCAGGUUCUCUCUGAGCAGGGCACUCUUGCUCAGUUUUCUUGUCCUGGCGCCCAUGCUCAGAAUGGUGUGGCCGAACGCAAGCAUCGUCAUCUCCUUGAGACUGCUCGUGCUCUUCUGCUUGCUUCUUCUGUUCCGCCUCACUUUUGGGCUGAGGCUGUGUCUACAGCCACUUACUUGACUAACAUUCAACCUUCUUCUGCGCUUCAUGGUGAGAUUCCUUUUGAGCGUCUUCUAAAUAAGGUGCCUGACUACUCUAGUCUUCGUCUUUUUGGCUGUGUGUGCUAUGUGCUUCUUGCACCUCGUGAGCGCACGAAGCUGACUGCUCAAUCUGUCGAGUGUGUUUUUCUCGGCUAUAGUUCUGAGCAUAAGGGAUAUCGUUGUUGGGACCCAGUUGGGCGUAGGAUGCGGAUUUCUCGGGAUGUUAUUUUUGAUGAAUCUCGUCCUUUCUAUCCUCGUCCUUCUUCUGAUGUUUCCCCGGCGUCUUUGGUCGAUCCCCUCUCCUUCGUAAUAUUACCUGAUACUUCUAUUGCUAUCACCCCUUUAUCACGUCCUCAGGUGGUCCCCCCUGUAGUCUCCUCGCCUACUCAUCGUGCUGAUGUACUUCCCCCGGAAUCUACUUCUCUGGAAUGUCCUACUGAUUUUUCUGUGAAGCCACCGGUGACACAUGUCUAUACUCGUAGAGUUCGGACUUCUGAUGUGCCAUCUUCUUCUGAUGUGCCAUCUUCUAUUGUGCCCUCUUCGUCUGAUAUGCCUUCUUCUCCUACUGAGGCUUCUUUUUCAGAGGAUUCAUCUCCUGAGCCACUUCUGCGUCGUAGUCAUCGUCUUCGUAGGCGUCCUGAUUGUUAUUCUCCCUCUGCUUAUGCUACCACUAUUCUUUCGGAGCCGUCCUCUUAUCGUGAUGCUCUUCCUCAUCCGGAAUGGCAACACGCUAUGGCUGAGGAGAUUGCCGCUCUUGAGCGCACUCACACGUGGGACCUUGUUUCUCGUCCUGCCAAUGUGCGCCCUAUUACAUGCAAGUGGGUGUAUAAGGUCAAGACUCGCUCUGAUGGCUCUCUUGAGCGCUAUGAAGCUCGUCUUGUUGCUCGUGGUUUUCAGCAGGAGCAUGGUCGUGACUAUGAUGAGACUUUUGCUCCAGUUGCUCACAUGACCACUGUUCGCACCCUUCUUGUUGUGGCCUCUGUUCGUGGGUGGUCCAUCUCUCAGCUUGAUGUCAAGAAUGCCUUUCUUAAUGGUGAGCUGCGUGAGGAGGUCUAUAUGCAGCCGCCGCCUGGGUAUUCUGUUCCUGAGGGUAUGGUUUGUCGUCUUCGUCGCUCACUUUAUGGGCUAAAACAAGCUCCUCGUGCUUGGUUUCAGCGCUUUGCCUCCGUGGUCACUGCUGCUGGGUUUUCUGCCAGUGUGCAUGAUCCUGCCCUGUUUGUACAUACUUCACCUUGAGGUCGGACUCUUCUCCUUCUUUAUGUUGUUGAUAUGAUCAUUACUGGAGAUGAUUCUCAGUAUAUUGCCUUUGUCAAGGCCCGUCUCAGUGAGACGUUUCUUAUGUCUGAUCUUCGUCCUCUUAGUUUCUUUCUUGGGAUUGAGGUUUCUUCUAUGCCCGAAGGCUUCUAUCUGUCUCAAGAAAAGUAUAUUCAGGACCUUCUUGAUCGGGCUUCUCUUACUGAUCAUCGGACUGUUGAGACUCCCAUGGAACUUAAUGUUCAUCUUCGCGCCACUGAUGGUGAGCCCCUUGAGGAUCCCACUCGUUAUCGUCAUAUUGUUGGGAGUCUCGUUUAUCUUGGUGUUACUCGUCCUGAUAUCUCUCAUGCUGUGCAUAUUCUGAGUCAGUUUGUUUCAGCUCCUUCUCAUCUUCAUUAUAGCCAUCUUCUUCGAGUCUUACGUUAUCUUCGUGGGACCAUUUCACGCCGUCUAUUCUUUCCACGCUCUAGUUCCUUACAUCUCACGGCUUAUUGUGAUGCUACAUGGGCUAGUGAUCCUUCUGAUCGUCGGUCUCUUUCUGCAUAUUGUGUUUUUCUUGGUGGUUCCCUUAUUGCUUGGAAGACUAAGAAGCAGGUAGCAGUUUCUCGUUCGAGUGCUGAGGCUGAGUUGCGUGCUAUGGCGUUUGUGACGGCAGAGGUGACUUGGUUACGGUGGUUGCUUGAGGAUUUUGGUGUUUCCGUUUCUGUGCCGACUCCUCUUUUGUCUGACAGUACCGGAGCUAUCAGUAUUGCUCGCGAUCCAGUGAAGCAUGAGCUUACUAAGCAUAUUGGUGUGGAUGUUUCUUAUACACGUUCACAGGUUCAGGAUGGGGUUAUUGCUCUUCAGUAUGUGCCUUCCGAAUUGCAGCUGGCUGAUUUCUUUACCAAGGCCCAGACUCGUAUUCAGCAUAGAUUUUUCCUCUCCAAACUCAGUGUUCUUGACCCACCAUGAGUUUGAGGGGGGGUGUUAGAUGUAUAUGUACCGUUGGUGAUUUACCUUUUCUAUUAGGGGGUUUUCUGUAUAUUUUCCCCUUCUUGUACCUGUAUAUAUAUGGGCCUAGAGCCCCUGUUAUGAAUACAAGUGCUAUUCCUAACAAAGAGAGCAACAGCCAGUUGGUAAAGGGAGAUCCCUUCUAUCUGCUUGCCUUCCAAAGGGUCUAUUUAUACAGG